rnacentral:rRNA from 1 species
AUUGAACGCUGGCGGCAGGCCUAACACAUGCAAGUCGAACGGUAACAGGAAGCAGCUUGCUGCUUCGCUGACGAGUGGCGGACGGGUGAGUAAUGUCUGGGAAGCUGCCUGAUGGAGGGGGAUAACUACUGGAAACGGUAGCUAAUACCGCAUAAUGUCGCAAGACCAAAGAGGGGGACCUUCGGGCCUCUUGCCAUCGGAUGUGCCCAGAUGGGAUUAGCUUGUUGGUGGGGUAACGGCUCACCAAGGCGACGAUCCCUAGCUGGUCUGAGAGGAUGACCAGCCACACUGGAACUGAGACACGGUCCAGACUCCUACGGGAGGCAGCAGUGGGGAAUAUUGCACAAUGGGCGCAAGCCUGAUGCAGCCAUGCCGCGUGUAUGAAGAAGGCCUUCGGGUUGUAAAGUACUUUCAGCGGGGAGGAAGGGAGUAAAGUUAAUACCUUUGCUCAUUGACGUUACCCGCAGAAGAAGCACCGGCUAACUCCGUGCCAGCAGCCGCGGUAAUACGGAGGGUGCAAGCGUUAAUCGGAAUUACUGGGCGUAAAGCGCACGCAGGCGGUUUGUUAAGUCAGAUGUGAAAUCCCCGGGCCCAACCUGGGAACUGCAUCUGAUACUGGCAAGCUUGAGUCUUGUAGAGGGGGGUAGAAUUCCAGGUGUAGCGGUGAAAUGCGUAGAGAUCUGGAGGAAUACCGGUGGCGAAGGCGGCCCCCUGGACGAAGACUGACGCUCAGGUGCGAAAGCGUGGGGAGCAAACAGG